rnacentral:rRNA from 1 species
CAAAUUUGAAAUCUGGCUCUUCCGGAGUCCGAGUUGUAAUUUGUAGAAGAUGCUUUGGGUUGUGGGUUCGGCCUAAGUUCCUUGGAACAGGACGUCAUAGAGGGUGAGAAUCCCGUAUGUGGCCGAGGCCCGCGCCUAUGUAAAGCUCUUUCAACGAGUCGAGUUGUUUGGGAAUGCAGCUCAAAAUGGGUGGUAAAUUUCAUCUAAAGCUAAAUAUGGGCCAGAGACCGAUAGCGCACAAGUAGAGUGAUCGAAAGAUGAAAAGCACUUUGGAAAGAGAGUUAAACAGUACGUGAAAUUGUUGAAAGGGAAGCGCUUGCAACCAGACUUGGGCGCUGCCGAUCACCUUGAGUUUUCUCGAGUGCACUCGACAGCGCACAGGCCAGCAUCGGUUCGGGUGGCUGGAUAAAGGCCGUAGGAAUGUGGCUCUCUUCGGGGAGUGUUAUAGCCUACGGUGCCAUGCAGCCCAGCCGGACCGAGGACCGCGCCUUCGGGCUAGGAUGCUGGCGUAAUGGUUGUAAGCGACCCGUCUUGAAACACGGACCAAGGAGUCUAACAUCUAUGCGAGUGUUUGGGUGGUAAACCCAUACGCGGAAUGAAAGUGAACGUAGGUGAGAACCCCUUUGGGGCGCAUCAUCGACCGAUCCUGAUGUCUUCGGAUGGAUUUGAGUAAGAGCAUAGCUGUUGGGACCCGAAAGAUGGUGAACUAUGCCUGAAUAGGGUGAAGCCAGAGGAAACUCUGGUGGAGGCUCGCAGCGGUUCUGACGUGCAAAUCGAUCGUCAAAUUUGGGCAUAGGGGCGAAAGACUAAUCGAACCAUCUAG